GACGAACGCUGGCGGCGUGCUUAACACAUGCAAGUCGAACGGAGUGGCGAACGGGUGAGUAACACGUGGGUGACCUGCUCUGUACUUCGGGAUAAGACUGGGAAACUGGGUUGAAUACCGGAUAGUGUGGGAUGGGCGCGCGGCCUAUCAGCUUGUUGGUGGGGUAAUGGCCUACCAAGGCGGCGACGGGUAGCCGGCCUGAGAGGGUGGACGGCCACAGUGGGACUGAGACGCGGCCCGGACUCCUACGGAGGCAGCGGUGGGGAAUAUUGCGCAAUGGGCGGAAGCCUGAUACAGCGGCGCCGCGUGGGGGAUGACGGCCUUCCGGUUGUAAACUCCUUUCACCAUUGACGCGGUAGAUGGAGAAGAAGCACCGGCUAACUACGUGCCAGCAGCCGCGGUAAUAC
rnacentral:rRNA from 1 species